CACCUAAACAAUCUGGUGUAUCAAUGAGUGGAAGUUGAACACAAAACCUUCCACUUGACAAUCGAGUGGUAUUGGAUAAAAAAUGUUGUUCACAGGCCUUUUCUGUAUUAGUAAGGCAUGUUUUGUUUGGAAUCUCUUCAAUGUUCCAGAAUUUUGGUAGUAGUUCAUGUACACUUUCUGUUUCUUCAUUUUGUUUUAGUAUUGACUUAUUGCAUUGAAUUUUGUUGGACAUAUUGACAUUUGUAUAAAUUGGACCGGCAAUUAUCCAGCCAAAUUUUGUGUUUCUUAAUUUUGGAAAACUUGGACCUAAGGUAAGUGUAUCAUUACCUAGGACAUCCCAGAAGAGGUCUGCACCAAUGAGGACAUCGAUGGACGAAGGAAUGUCAAAAUUAGUAUCUGCAAGUUUCAAAUUAUUUGGAAUUUUAAAACCUUGUAAAUUCAUAGGAGCAGCAGGAAUUGAACCUGUCAACUCUUUGAGUAAAUAGCAAGUCAAAGCAACGUUAUAAUCUUGGUGUAUUGAACUAAUAUGUGCAAUGCAACUCUCAGUGAUGAAAUUUGAAGAGUUGUUGCCAAUACCUACAACGUUAAUUUUAUUAAUAGGCUGUGACUCGAGACCUAGAAUGUCUUUCAAACGAUUGGUUAAAAAAGAUGAUUGACUUCCGCAAUCUAGUAAAGCGCGGACCUUUAAUGAUUUGUUUAUUUUAGGAUUGGUAACUUCGACUAUGGCUGUAGACAAUAUGACUUGAUUUACUGGUUGUCUAGAAAAAUUGACUAUUGUUUCAGUAGUGUUUUUAGAAUCAUUGCUAUUGGAAUUAGACGGUGCUGUUUGAUCACACAAAAAACUAUUAUGAAACUUCUUGCACUUACGACAAGGACCAAGCCUGCAGUUUCGCUGAUUGUGGCCUAACCUGAGGCAAUUUGUGCAUAGCUUUAGUCGCUGUACGUCAGCUUUUCUUUCUUCUAUACUCUUGGCCUUGAACUUAGCGCAAUCAUAUAUUCUGUGGUCACCUUUGCAUAUAACGCAACCUUUAAUAUUGUUAUUUGGAGUUAGUGAAGUAAAAGAUUUUGUUUGAUUGCUAGUGAUAGAAUUCUGACCUGUAGCAGGGCGUGAAGAGGUGGAUGAUGUCUUAGACCUCUCCAAUCUAUUGCGAUUAAGUGUCUCUAAAAUGUCUGCGCGAUCGGUUAAAAAUUUAUUAAAUUGUGUAAGUGUGGGUAUAUCAUCCAAAGAAUUACGCAUCUCUUCCCACUUAGUAAGUGUACGUGGAUCUAAUUUUGAGCAAAUCAUAUGAAUUAUCAUUAAGUCCCAAUGUUCAGUAGCUUGACCCAAACUAGACAAUGCACGUAAGUUCUUAGUAACUGUGUCCACCACAAAGCGUAAUGAACGAUCAGUCUCGCGUGUCAUAGUUUCGAUUUUAAAAAGAGCAUUUAAAUGAUGAUUAAUAAGUUGUCGCUUGUUAUCGUACCUAUCGCACAAUAAGCGCCACGCGUCAUUAUAGUUAGAAGCAGAAACCUCAAGAUUCGCGAUGACACGAGCAGCGUCACCUUCUAAGUACGAUACCAAAUAAUGAAAUUUAUGAAUAGGCUUGAUGCGCUCGUUGUUGUGUAUAAGCGAUAAAAAUGUGUCGCGGAAUUCAAGCCACCGAAAAUAGGCACCAUCGAAUUUAUUAAUUUGCAAUUGCGGUAACUUAAACUCAGCUUCAUAGUGUUCGCGAUGGCACUGAGACAAGGACGAGUUGCUUUGAUCGUGACUGUCUUUAUGACUAUUUGAUUCGUUAAUAAUAGUUUGAGCUAUAGCCAUACAUGUCGCACAGUCCUGCUCAAUGGCAUCUCGUUCGUUGAUUUCAAAAGCUAUAUUUUCCGAAUUUAAAACAUCGAUUGAAUCUUGCAACUGCUCGUAUUGAACCGAAAGUAAACGAAAUUUCUCUAAUUUAAUUGUUAAUUCGGAUAUUUGAAUUGCCGUUAAAACUUCUUUUUUAGAAAUAUUAUCGACAUAGUUUUUAAAUUUUGUAAUACGGCCCUUAAUUGACGUUCUUUUUGUUAAUAGGCUCUUUAAAUCGCCUUUGUUGUCGUUAACGUUAGUCAUUUUGUAUAAUAUUUGUUACUCGAAUGAUUCCAAAACUAAUAACUAAAAUAAUAAAAUUCUCACGCUCCUUGUAUAGUCCCUUUGGUGUCACCUGUGAACCGGCAAGCACAGCUCAGCUCCGUGGAACGCGCUGUGUAGCUCGCGGACGCCACGCCACGUCGCGUCGUGAGUAGGUAUAGGUACCCAGCCAAGCUGAAAUCGUCGGCACACUGACCUUGAGUACUUAUUUCAGUACAAUAAGCAAAGGAGUUUUGAUAGGUACUAAUCUGGCUAGUUACCUUUUGACACGUUAA